rnacentral:lncRNA from 1 species
UGAAAGAGUUGGUUUGGUCCUUGUGGAAUCAAACUCAAUGGAAGAUGAAUUAAUAUCAAGAUUUAGUAGGAAGAUAAUUAGUACAAAAAUAUAAGUCAAAGAUAGUAUAUUGGUAGGUGAAAUUUAGGUAAACCAUAAAAUGGUUUCAUAUAAUUAACCUUGACAUUUUUGACACAUGGUGAUGUCAUGGAUGACAUCAAAAGGACGAAUUCAUUCCUAUAAAUAGGUAACUCUUAAUUCAUUUUUAAAACACCCUCUCACUUGCCUUCUCACCUUCUAAGAUAUUUGAUGUUCUCUCUCUUGUAGUAUUUCACUCGUAUUUUUUGUAGAGUGAAAUAAAUAUUGGUGUAGUUGUUCUUUGCUGGACGUAGGAUAAUUUUGAUUCGAAUCACGUUAAAUAUUGUUGUUCUUCCUUUUUCUUUAUUUUCACGUUUCCGCUAACAAUUGGUAUCAGAGCCAAGGUUUGUCUGAGUAUGCUCUGUGGUUGCAGUAUUUUCAAAUACAUUGUAGUAGAAAAGGAAGAACAAGUAAAGAUGAGUUCCAUGAAUGUUAAAAUUGAUAGAUUUAGUGGGCGCAACAACUUCAAUAUCUGGAAGAUCCAGAUGAUGGCGUUACUGCGGAGGGCAGGUUUAAUCCAUGCUUUUGACGGGAAGUAUCCCGAUAACACAUCAAAUUCCGACAAGGAGAUGUAUUAAUUGUAAUCCAACUGUCCCUUGCACCUAACGUACUUUGUGAAAUGAGUACAAGUACCGAUGAGACGACCAAAGAGUUAUGGAAAAGGCUGGAAGGGCUUUACCAAGGCCAAUCAGUGACAACAAGGAUGUUGAUACAACGACGUCUUCACACUUUAAUAUGGAUUCAGGUACUUUAUUGCAAGACCAUCUAGAUGCGUUCAACAAACUUGUGAUGGACCUACAGACUGCUGGAAUUAAAAAGGAUGAGGAGACGCUACCAUGUGCUUUGCUAUUUUCGUUGACUUCAAAAUAUCGUGAUAUUGAGAAUUCAAUUAUGUAUAGCAAAAAGCAUAUCACCAUUGAGCAAUUGCGGUAAACACUUAACUCUUGUGAUGUGCGGAUGUAUUUUGAAGGAGACAAAUGUGACGAAGCUAGUGGGAUCUUUGUAAGAGGUCGUACAAGCCAACAUGGAAGGAGCUAAUCAAAGUACAAAUCAAAGUCCCGUGUGAACAAGAAUAAUGCGGAGUGUUGGGGUUGUCACAAGAAGUGGCACUUUGAACGAGAUUGCCCUAUGUCAAAGUCCAAAGAAAAGGCGAGUGCAUCCAUUGUUGAGCAAGUACAUGAUUCUGAUGAUGAUUAUGUACUAACAACAUCAUGCAAUAGUGGAGUCUAUGACAACAAAUAGGUGUUAGACUCUGGUUAUACUCUGCAUAUGACAUUCCGAAGAGAUUGGUUCAGCAGCUAUGAAACAAAUGGAUGAACCAUAUUAAUGGGCAAUAAUGCAACUUUUAAAAUAGUUGGCAUUGGUUCAAUUCAUGUUUAUUUCCAUGAUGGAAUCGUGAGGACUAUUAAAGAAGUUUGUCAUGUUCCUGAUCUGAAGAAGAAUUUGAUCUCCAUGGGUACUUUGGAUAAACAAGGCUACAAGUACAUGAGUGAAGGAGGAACUAUGAAAGUAACUUAAGGGUCUUUAGUCAGUUGAAGGCCAAGCUGGAUGAUGGCCUCUACACACUUAUGGGAACUACCAUUAUUGACUCUGUAAAUGCAUCUACAGUGCAUUUAUCUAGUGAUGACAAGGCAAAAUUAUGGCGCAUGAGAAUAGGCCAAAUGAGCACACGAGGAUUGGAGAUGUUGAGCAACCGCAACCUUUUGAAUGGUGAAAAGAUCAGCACACUUGAAUUUUGUGAGUAUUGUGUCUUAGAGAAACAGAAGAAGGUCAGCUUCAGCACUGGCAAGCACAAGAUGGGAGGGGUGCGAGACUACAUCCAUUCAGAUUUAUAGGGUUUCUCUAAGCUUCCAUCGAAGGUAGGAAAGAGAUAUCUUCUCACAUUCAUUGAUGAUUUUGCACGCAAGGUUUGGGUGCGUUUCUUGAUGGCAAAAAGUGAUGCUUUUGAAGCAUUUAAAGAGUGGAAGAUUUUGGUUGAAAAUCAAAUGGAUAGAAAAAUCAAGUAUCUUCGCACAGACAAUGGCUUGGAGUUUUGCAGUGAAGAGUUCAAUGAUUUCUGCAAGGUUCAUGGGAUCGCAAGACAUAAGAUGGUCAGGCACACACCACAACAGAAUAAAGUUGCCGAGAGAGUGAACAAAACUCUUCUUGAGAAGGCUUGUUGUAUGCUCUCACAAUCCAAGAUAUCCAAAGUAUUUUGGGCUGAAGCAGUUCAUACUGCUUCCCAUAUUGUCAAUCGAUCACCAGCAUCAAUGAUUGACUUUAAGACUUUGAAUGAGGUAUGGUCAGGUGAACCCUCUAACUAUUCAUACUUGCGAAUAUUUGGGUGUCCAGCUUAAUAACAUAUCAAUGAAGGAAAGCUUGAACUUAGGGCUAAGAAGGCCAUAUUCGUAGGGUAUGUAGAUGGAGUAAAAGGGUACAAACUUUGGUGUUUGUCCUUACUCAAAUUAUAGUUAGUAGAGAUGUUACCUUUGAUGAAUCUUCUAUACCUGAUCCUCGUAAUGUUUCUGUGGAGUUAUCAAGAAACGAGAACAACGAGCAGGUGGAGCUACCGGUAGAGCUUACCAAGGAACGGGAUCAAGGGACUCAAGUUGAUGAGUCAAAAGAUGCAGAUCUUGAAGAACUUAAUGUCAAUGAACCAUACAUAAUUACGAAAGAAAAUGGUAAAAGGCAAUUCCGGAAACCGGAAUGUCUUAUAAGGCAAGAAAAUCUGAUUGCAUUGUGUUCGUAGCUGCAGAAGAAGAGAUUAAGGAUCUCGAGCCCUCCUCGUAUAUAGAAGCAACUUUUUGGAAAGAUGUUGCACACUGAUAGUUAGCCAUGAUGGAAGAGAUGGAGUCUCUUCACAAAAAUGAGACAUGGGUCUUAGUUAAAAGGCCGAAGGGGAAAAAGAUAAUUGGAUGCAAAUGGGUCUACAGAAAGAAAGAGGGUAUUUCAAAAGUGGAAGAUGCUAGGUUCAAGGCACAAUUGGUUGCAGAGGGUUUCAGCCAGAAAGAGAGAAUUGACUACAGUGAGAUCUUUUCUCUAGUCGUGAAACAUAGCUUAAUUCGCGUGCUACUAGCAAUGGUUGCACAAUUUGAUUUAGAGCUUCAACAACUUGAUGUAAAAACUACUUUUUUACAUGGUGAUCUAGAAGAGACGUUUGAUAUGGAUCAGCCUGAAGGUUUCCUAGCUGAAGGAAAAUAAGAUCAUGUAUGCCAACUGAAGAAGUCUUUGUAUGGUUUGAAGCAAUCCCCUAGACAGUGGUACAACAGAUUUGAUGCAUUCAUGACUACACGUGGAUUUUUGAGGAGUGCAUUUGAUAGUUGUAUGUAUCACAAGAAGAUGUCUGGUAGUUCUAUGAUUUAUCUAUUGUUGUAUGUUGAUGAUAUGCUUAUUGCUGCUAACAACAUCACAGAGAUAAAUAUUUUGAAGAAACUGUUGAGCAAGGAAUUUGACAUGAAGGAUUUGGGAGUUGCAAAGAAAAUCCUUGGAAUGGAGGUUUCAAGAGAAGACGAUAUUGUACAUCUUUUUUCAAAAGAGGUACAUCGAAAAGGUUCUUGAGAGAUUUAAUAUGCAUAUGAUCAAGCCUGUAAGUACACCGUUAGCUUCAUAUUUAAAGCUUUCAAAGUUACAAAUGCCUCAGUCUAUGGAUGAUGUGGAGCAUAUGUCAAAGGUUCCUUAUGCGAGCGCAGUUGGCAGCAUUAUGUAUGUUAUGGUGUGCACACGUCCAUAUAUUGCUCAAUCUGUAAGUGUGGUAAGCAAGUACAUGGAAAAUCCAGGAAAAAGACAUUGGGAAACUGUGAAGCGGAUAUUGAGAUAUCUCAAAGGAGCUUCUAAUGUUGGCCUAACCUUCCAGAAAAGUGAAGGUAUUUCAAUUCUCGGUUAUGUAGAUUCUAACUAUGCAGGGGAUCUUGAUAAAAGGAGGUCCAUAACUGGAUACAUCUUUACUCUCGUUGGUAGUGCCAUUAGUUGGAAAUCGACUUUACAAUCGAUUGUCGCUUUGUCUACAACAGAUGCAGAAUAUAUGGCCGCAACGAAGGCAGUGAAAAAAGCUAUCUGGUUGAAAGGUUUAGUGGCAGAAUUGAGUUCAAUUCAGCUGGAAUCAACUCUAAGAUGUGAUAGUCAAAGUGCUAUUCAUUUGAUUAAAAAUCAAAGAUUUCAUGAGCGCACCAAACACAUUGAUGUCAGAUUCUAUUUUAUUCGAGAUGUCGUAGAAGAGGGAGCUAUCAAGGUUGACAAGGUUAUCACAGACGAUAACGCUGCAAACAUAUUGACCAAUAUAGUCUCGCUUGCCAAGUUUGCACACUGCAAGGACUUGGCGGGAGUAUGCAUCAAGUGAUGCAACUUUGGGGGAACAAUUGCUAGGUGGAGCUAGUAUGUUCAACAAAGGUUUGAUUCUUCUUGUUUCUUACAAUGGGAUUGCCCAGUAAGCUUAGAAGUUUUGGUCGGAGUUGUUUAUACGCAUGUGUCACAGUCCGAGAGCACUGCCUAGUCGUAACACGGCAUACUCGACCUCGAAGAGGUUUAAUACAAGCCUCUUAGGUCAUUCAUUGCAUAGACAAUAGAAAAUAGUGCGGAAUUAAAGCCUUAUUUAAGACCAACUAUUAAAAGCUCAUUUAUAAAGCAGCGGAAAUACUAAGUCUCACAUGACCAUCCUUAGACAACUUUAACAAGAUAGGGUCACGGCCCUUUACAAUCGAUUCUUAACAAAAGUCUUAGAACAUAAUGAAACUAGAAACAUAAGAGUCAUUGUCCUCGAACUAUGAGGACAUACCAAUUCUUGGAGGAAAACUCUAUCCAAGCACUUAAACUCAAGCUAAGAAUGAUCACUUGUCGGAACCUACACUUGUAGUAAAACAUAGAAGAAGAAUGGGUUAACACAAUUAAGUACUAAGUAUGAUGACCAUGCAAAAACAUGCUAAAAUGAGACAUUUUGUUGAAAGUCAUGCUUUUAUGCCAUUUGGUAAAACUUCAUGAACAUUGAACAAUAGAAGCAAAAUAUAAGUCACAACCAACAUACAAGUCACAUUUAACAUUUGAACUCAAUCACACACACACACACACACACACAUAUAUAUAUAUAUAUAUUACCUUUACCUUAAACCUCCACUUCAAGUAACCCUCAAGCUAUACCUUGUGCAAUGUGUGGAUAACGUCCCAUAUCACCAUCCACACCAAGGUACCACCUUAAGGUCACCAAAAUGAACCCACCAUUUAUCAUGCAUCACGUUACAAAUAUUCAUGCUCAACUAGUACCAACAUACAACACAUAAGUGUAUUCCUCAAGUAAGCCAUUUUAUCAUCUUAGGAUCUCUAUCUAAAGUUACCAUAAGACACACCUAAGUAAGAUAUGAGGUGGCCGUCCAUACAACCUCUUCAUAUACACCUAGGCAUUCCUCAAGGCUACAAUAAACAAGAACCUUUACAUUUCAACAUAACAUGCUAAGUAACUCAUUCAUCAUUUCAUUUAAACAAUAGGUCAACAUUCUUCAUUAGAAUCAUUUAGGACACAUUCAUGCAUUUAGAGGACUUUCAUUCAUUAGCCAUUAAGGCUUAGAGAACUCAUUAUAGUACCUUCAAAGCCUACUCGUGCAAUGUAUAGAUAGCAUCCCAUACUACUACAUACACUUUGUAGUACCUAUCAAGUAACCAGAGUGCACAUCUCACAUGAUAGAAAUAUGCAUUAACUGACAUAGACCAUGCAAACUAGACAUGGAAUCCGGUGUCAUAAACCCUACACCGUGGAAGGUGUUCUACUUGCCAAUGGUAGAACUAAAACAUAUCCUAUGUUGGCACAUAGCUUAUGGGAUAUCCAAAGAUGUUCAUUGAACUCUAGCCUCUUCAUUGGGAAGAGCCACCAUCUUAAUCAUAUCCACUUGGUGCUUAGCCUUAGUUCCCAUAGAGUAGUUUCAUUACAUUAGUGUAUUUAGAGAGGGCCACCAACAUUAGGCCUACCGACCCUAAGUACUUGUACCAAGAAAGGACUCUCCCAAUAGGCCUACCGAUCAAGUUGCAUUAAGGAUAGCUCGUUGAUCUUCCUAGAGAGGGCUACCACCAUUAGGUCUAUCGACUCUAGGUUUAUCAUUUCACACAAGAAUGAGGCUACCACCAUUAGGUUUAUCGCUUCAAGGUUUCACAUUCACUUAGGGUUCUAGACUCACAAUGAAGGGCUACCAAUUUUAGGUCUACCGAUUCAAGUCAUAAUCUAAAAUACCUCAUUAGUCAUUUAUAGAAAGGCUACCAAUAUUAGGUCUACCAAUUUAAGACAUUAACACAUUCACUAGUCAAUUAUGAAAGGGCUACCAACAUUAGGUCUACCAAUUUAAGACAUUAACACAUUCACUAGUCAAUUAUGAAAGGGCUACCAACAUUAGGUCUACCAAUUCCUGAUCAUUAAGACAUUAAGUCAAGAUACAUUCAUUAUUCGUAAAGAGGAUGCCUAAGCCUACCAAUUCUAAAUUCAACAUUCACAUUAUAGAAACCCUUCACAUUCAUCAUUAUCAUUCAUGAGUGUCAUAUUGAGAAAUAGCCUUUCAAUACUAACACAAAUACAUUGAGUACAUGUUCAUUAUUCUAUCAUUGAGUCACAUGUAAAUCCUUCACAUUAUACACUCACAUAUACAAUAACAUUAUAAUGAUCACAAUGUACAUAGUAAGUAAACACCUCCACAUUUCAAGUGGAUAAACAAUUCAAGCUCAAUUCUACAUUAACAUGAAAUUAGGUCAAACUUUCCCUUUCAAGGCUAUGAUCACAAAUCCUCAAUUCACCAACAAUUCACCAUAAGUAGACAUAGAUAUUGAUACAACUAAAUAAUCUAAAUCAAUCUACACAUAAAUCCAUCAUCAUUCAAUCAUAAUCAACAAACCCACUUUAUAAGUCACAAUUUAGGAAUUGAGAGGAAUCAUGGGUUCAAGGAGAAAAAUUAUCUUUAAUCAUCAAUUAAACAUCAAUAUAAUCAUAGUUUAUCAUUUGAAAAUGUUUGAUGGAAGAACCCAUGAGAUUGAGUAAAACCCUUGAAAGCUUUGAAAUCUUAUUCCACAGCAGCUAAGAAUUAUCUCAGAUUUUCCGUUAGUGCGCUCCGAAAAACACACUGGAAGGGGGAGCAACAUGGAAAGCGAGGCUCCACACCCUUCUCCGUGGGCUUGUCUUCACCUUAGAUGAAGGGUCACCAUACCUUUGCUAAGAUUCCCCAAGAAAUUUGAUAAAGAAACGACCUUGAAUCGAAACCCUAGCUCCAACUGCUUGACUUUCUUCAAUAGAGGAUUGUAGUGAGAGAAAUAUUUGAGGGAGGUGGGUUUUCUUUUGAUUCUAUUUGGAGUGACUUAAAUGAAACAAUUUAGGUCUAAAAAGGUUUUAUAGUUGCUAGGAAAAGAAUAGAAUAGUAUAGGGUCAAUUUUGGAAAAGAACUAAGGACCUUAAAGUUUCAACUUAAAAAUUUUGCCGCUUGAGCUCGCCCUUUGGACACUUGGGAUCGCCAAGUGCACUAGGCGACUCGCCAAGUGCACUAGGCGACUCGCCAAGUGCACCCUUGGCUUGCCCUUUGUUCCAGUGGCUCACUCAAAGGGCUAGUCAAUGGGCGAUUAGAGGGGGAGAAGGGGGACACGCCAAGCUGGUUGGCGAGCUACCCUUUUGCUCGCCCUUUUGUCCAGUUGCUGGGCCAAAAGGGCAACCAACUAGGCGAACACAAGGCACAAGGGCGACUCGUCAAACAUUCCAUCUAGGAACUAGGCUUCUAUCACCCUAUCUUGCUAGCCUAGGCCCUUGGUUGCACCCUAGGCUUCCACCUUGAUCCAUUUAUGCUCUAAAACAACGUAAACAUCAACCUAAGGUCACACUAACCCAUACGUCAAGGCUCUAGUUCAUCAUAUCAUUUUUCCGAGUCGUUACAGCAUGCUCGGAAUGCAAACCAAGGUGAAGAUUGAAAGAGGUUGUUUGGUCCUUGUGGAAUCAAACUCAAUGGAAGAUGAAUUAAUACGAAAAUUUGGUAGGAAAAUAAUUAGUACAAAAUAAAAGUCAAAGAUAGUAUCUUGGUAGGUGAAAUUUAGAUAAACCAUAAAAUGGUUUCACAUAUUUAACCUUGACAUUUUUGACACAUAGUGAUGUCAUGGAUGACAUCAAUAUGAAGAAUUCAUUCUUAUAAAUAGGUAGCUCUUAAUUCAUUUUUAAAGCAUCCUCUCACUUGCCUUCUCACCUUCUAAGACAUUUGAUGUUCUCUCUCUUGUAAUAUUUCACUUGUACUUUUUGCAGAGUGAAAUAAAUAUUGGUGCAGUUGUUCUUUGGUGGACGUAGGAUCAUUUUGAUUCGAACCACGUUAAAUAUUGUUGUUCUUCCUUGUUUUUUAUUUUCACAUUCCCACUAACAAUUCUCAUAUUAUUUAUUAAUAAAAUUAUAAUCUUUUAUAUUUUAUUUAUAGUUACAAUUUAUUUUCUUUCACUCUAAAAUCGAUCGUGAACACCUAUAUAUCUCCUCAAAUUAAGUGUUCCAGACGAACUUAUAAACUGUCAUCAGCAAAAGUGCAUUGCGCUUUUAUCUCUAUUCAUAUUGUUUUUUAAAUGUCACCUGUCAUUACCCAAUUCAUAAGUCACAGACUUUGUGUUUGUGGUUACAUGUGGAACCACAUGAUCUCAUCAUUAAAACUCCUUGCAUUUUAACACACUACUACGAUAAAAUAAAACAUUAAAGAUGGACAAUUUUUUUUAUGGAAAUAACAAAAAUUCCAUCUAUUUAUGAAUUAGCGACUGAUUAUACUAAAAUUCAAUUAGAUAGAAGUUAUUUAGUGAUGAAUUAAAUAAAUAUUAUCGAUAAAAUUCGUAGCUAAUUUUAUGUUUUUUAAAUAGUGACAUAUAGAAACUCAAGAAACAAACUCUAUUUCUACUAUAUUUUUGUAUAAAAUAUUAGGAGUAUUUAAUUUGUUGCCAUAAAAGGUACUUUUGCCAAACCUUUGAACAAGUUAGGAUUGAUUUUUGAAAUAGUAGGUGUUAUAGUUAGUUGUCGAUUGCAUGGAGAAGAUAAUAUUCUUUUACGUGGUAAUCUUUCUAGCAAUAGAAUAAGAUAUCAAGAUUUGUUUACCCUAUUAAAAUAUAUUUCUAGCCUUAGACAAACAUAGUAAGGAUUUCGUCAGAUGGCGAAUUUAGAAUUUUUUUAUUUUUAU